UCACUGGUGGCUCAGACGGUAAAGCAUCUGCCUACAAUGCAGGAGACCUGGGUUCGAUCCCUGGGUGGGGAA
rnacentral:tRNA from 1 species